CGGUAAGAAUGCGAGAGAUCGAAGGAAGAACAGUUGGGCGGAGGAAGGCGCCUUGCUCGCGACCAAUACGUGACACUCGAGGGAACGAANCGGUAGGGNGACAGGUGGUAUAGACCACCAGGUCUCGCGAACCGUAACAGUGAUACGUAGGUUGUUGUCUGUAUCCGGACCCGAUAGCGCGUGACACGUAGUUAAUCGCCCUCGGUGGGAGCACGCAGAGUGAGACAGAAAGUAUCGGAGGGGCCCGCACAAGCGGUGGAGUAUGUGGUUUAAUUCGAUGCAACGCGAAGAACCUUACCAGGACUUGACAUGUCGCGGUCGACGCGGCCG
rnacentral:misc_RNA from 1 species